UACGUAGGGGGCUAGCGUUGUCCGGAAUUAUUGGGCGUAAGGCGCGUGUAGGCGGUUCAAUAAGUCUGCUGUAAAAGUCGGGGGCUCAACCCCCGAAAGCCGGUGGAUACUGUUGGACUAGAGUACGGAAGAGGCGAGUGGAAUUCCUGGUGUAGCGGUGAAAUGCGCAGAUAUCAGGAGGAACACCAAUUGCGAAGGCAGCUCGCUGGGACGUUACUGACGCUGAGACGCGAAAGCGUGGGGAGCGAACAGG
rnacentral:rRNA from 1 species